rnacentral:piRNA from 1 species
UACCUCUGUUCAGCAUUCUCCACACUUUGA